GACAGAGGAUGCAAGCGUUAUCCGGAAUGAUUGGGCGUAAAGCGUCUGUAGGUGGCUUUUUAAGUCCGCCGUCAAAUCCCAGGGCUCAACCCUGGACAGGCGGUGGAAACUACCAAGCUGGAGUACGGUAGGGGCAGAGGGAAUUUCCGGUGGAGCGGUGAAAUGCGUAGAGAUCGGAAGGAACGCCGGUGGCGAAAGCGACACGCUGGCCCUCUUCUGACGCUGAGGCGCGAAAGCCAGGGGAGCCAAACGGG
rnacentral:rRNA from 1 species